rnacentral:rRNA from 1 species
CCCGAGACCGUUUAGGCGUCGGGCCUAAACGUUGGUGGCUUGGUGAUUGGGGUG